rnacentral:rRNA from 1 species
GAACGGUAACAGGCCCGCAAGGGUGCUGACGAGUGGCGGACGGGUGAGGAAUACAUCGGAAUCUGCCCGGUUGUGGGGGAUAACGUAGGGAAACUUACGCUAAUACCGCAUACGACCGAGAGGUGAAAGCGGGGGAUCGCAAGACCUCGCGCGAUCGGAUGAGCCGAUGUCGGAUUAGCUAGUUGGCGGGGUAAAGGCCCACCAAGGCGACGAUCCGUAGCUGGUCUGAGAGGAUGAUCAGCCACACUGGGACUGAGACACGGCCCAGACUCCUACGGGAGGCAGCAGUGGGGAAUAUUGGACAAUGGGGGCAACCCUGAUCCAGCAAUGCCGCGUGUGUGAAGAAGGCCUUCGGGUUGUAAAGCACUUUUAUCCGGAACGAAACGCACUGGGUGAAUAUCCCGGUGAACUGACGGUACCGGAGGAAUAAGCACCGGCUAACUUCGUG